rnacentral:rRNA from 1 species
CCUACGGGAGGCAGCAGUGGGGAAUAUUGGACAAUGGGCGCAAGCCUGAUCCAGCAAUGCCGCGUGAGUGAUGAAGGCCUUAGGGUUGUAAAGCUCUUUUACCAGGGAUGAUAAUGACAGUACCUGGAGAAUAAGCUCCGGCUAACUCCGUGCCAGCAGCCGCGGUAAUACGGAGGGAGCUAGCGUUGUUCGGAAUUACUGGGCGUAAAGCGUACGUAGGCGGUUAUUCAAGUCAGAGGUGAAAGCCCGGGGCUCAACCCCGGAACUGCCUUUGAAACUAGGUAGCUAGAAUCUUGGAGAGGUCAGUGGAAUUCCGAGUGUAGAGGUGAAAUUCGUAGAUAUUCGGAAGAACACCAGUGGCGAAGGCGACUGACUGGACAAGUAUUGACGCUGAGGUACGAAAGCGUGGGGAGCAAACAGGAUUAGAUACCCUGGUAGUCCACGCCGUAAACGAUGAUAACUAGCUGUCCGGUCACUUGGUGACUGGGUGGCGCAGCUAACGCAUUAAGUUAUCCGCCUGGGGAUACGGUCGCAAGNUUAAAACUCAAAGGAAUUGACGGCUGAGCGNGCGAGACGACGACGAGGAGAGG